AGCACAACCAAUAAUUUAUCGGUGCAUUCUUAUAUUGAUAAGUCAACAAUUUCAACUCAACCAUAUUCUGAUACGGACACUUCCAAGUACUCCACAUCCGUCGGAGUUUUGUCUGAGGAAAGUUCAAAGUUAACCAAACAAAAUAUAAGCGAGAAAAGCACAACUAAUAUCUUAUCGUUGCCUUCUAAUAUUGCUACGUCAACAACAUUAACUCAGACACGUUCUUAUACGGACAGAACAGAAACAACACGAAACCAAACAAGUGCAGAGCACACUUUCAAGUACUCUACAACUGUCGGAUUUUUGUCUGAGGAACCCACAAAUAAAACCUCUACAUUUUCAAAGUUUGAACCGACCGAGCACAUCAGCACCAAUAAAAAAUUUACUGAAAAUGGCACAACCGAAUAUGUGAUAUCGCAAUCGAAUAAGACUUAUAGUGAUAGCCAAUUGAUCUCGACAACUGAAAAUGUUGAACUUACAGCAAGCUCACAGCCCACAGAUGUAAAUGUCUGGAAGGAAAUCGACAAAAGACUUGAUGACCUACAAAAUAAGUAUACGAUUCGAGAUAACAACUUUUUAGAUAAUUCUGAGUUUAAGGAAAAAUUUAGUCAGAUAAAUUCGUCGAUACAUUUGAAUCAACUUCCGGGUAAUAUUAGAGCUAGUCUGUAUGCAAAUUUCACGAUUUACGACAAGAUAAGAAUCGAACUGGAGGCCAUAAUUUUAUUUAAGCUCAACCAAAUUUUGGAAAAUAUGAACACAACGAAAUCGACUCCAGCAUGCAUUGAUCAUUAUAAAUACAUGGCCAAAAAUCUAGUAACGGGCUUGUCUAUGUCAAAUACUGAAAAGUGGAACAUAAUAAGAAAAAGUCACCUAAUAUGUCAUAUAACUCAGAAUAUAACAGUCACUAAACCAACAGUACCACCCACCACUCAAACUUCCACAGUCUCAAAAACUAUGGGAGGAUUUGCUGCAUAUUAUUGUAAUCAACAGAUAAUGAACUUAAUCGUUACAAAAUAUUCUCUGAGCCCAAACAAUGAAUCGAUUCCAAUUUCACCAAAGGACCCGUGCACUUCAAUACUACAAAAAAUUAGUCAAGCCCAUCAGCAUAAUGAUUCCAGUCACAGUGCGGAAUUCGACACCAUAAUUGUAAAGAUAAAGACAGCAAUCAAACAGAAUUGGACAACUAACAAAAAAGCGCUAUUAAUAAGGGAGUACUUGGAGUUUGAAAAAUUGCGAAAAUAUCUUGAUCAUAUUUUGGCUGGAAAAAUUGAGGAAUGCGAUAUGCGCCUUGCAGUAGUUAAAAGUAGAAAGUGUUGGAACUAUUACACAAAACUGAAGGUGAUGUUCCAUAAGGCAAUGCAAGAGACGAGUGCCAGAAAACAGUAUUUAAUAGGUAAUAUAUCAAUGGUAUGCAGUGAUAACAUUGUGUGAACAGAUAAUUUGUUUAUGUGAAAACAAAUAAAAUGGCUUAAGAAUUGAAAAUAGUAACCAA
rnacentral:sRNA from 1 species